rnacentral:rRNA from 1 species
GGAGUUAGCCGGUGCUUCUUCUGUGAGUGAUGUCCUUCCUGCCGGUUAUUGACCCGCAGGCCUUCUUCCUCACUGAAAGUGCUUUACAACCCGAAGGCCUUCUUCACACACGCGGCAUGGCUGGAUCAGGGUUGCCCCCAUUGUCCAAUAUUCCCCACUGCUGCCUCCCGUAGGAGUCUGGGCCGUGUCUCAGUCCCAGUGUGGCUGAUCAUCCUCUCAGACCAGCUACGGAUCGUCGCCUUGGUGAGCCGUUACCUCACCAACCAGCUAAUCCGACAUAGGCUCAUCCGAUAGCGCGAGGCCCGAAGGUCCCCCGCUUUCCCCCGUAGGGCGUAUGCGGUAUUAGCCUGGGUUUCCCCAGGUUAUCCCCCACUACCGGGCAGAUUCCUAUGCAUUACUCACCCGUCCGCCGCUCGCCACCAGGGAGCAAGCUCCCCGUGCUGCCGCUCGACUUGCAUGUGUUAGGCCUGCCGCCAGCGUUCAAUCUGAGCCAGGAUCGAAACUCUGA